AAAAAUAAAGCAGUAUUACAAAUGUCUUUUUUAUAUAUAUAAUUGUCUGGUCUCAACAGGCCUGAACGGUACCAGUCAUGACGUCUGAGAUAACAGAGUAUACACAGAGAACAAACUGUCCAUUAAAGCAGAAACCCGACAUAAUAACACACAUAUCCGAAAAAGCAAAAGCUCACCCAUGAAAUAUUCAGAAGUCACACAUAGCACUUGCUAUUCUUUUUUAUAUAUAGUUUUCUGUUUUUUGGUUUUUUUGUAUGUCCAUCUACAUUUUUUUUAAUUUUUUUUGGUGUUUUCAUGCUCCCUUUUUCCGAACAAACUGGAUCUUCAUUCCUCAUCCGAAGUAGAAGAGUUGAGCAUGCCGUAACCAGUGAAAACUCGGCAUCUCUUUGUUGUGUAUCAAAAGGUAUCGCUUCUGAGUAAACUUCUCUCGGUCUGCUGCCCAAAAAUAGGCCCACUGCCAUUGCUGUGUAGUCCUCUGAAGGUAGGUGCUUGAUAGCCUAUACUAACUGAAGUUGCUGAUCUAGUAAGGAGAGCUUCACGAGGAUAGUAUGUCCCCUCAAGUCCAACAGAUUGAAGCUGAGACGCCAAUGAAUCAAUGUUGGAUGUCACGGGGGAACGUGAACCAGAAGAAUUUCCAUCAGAAUAAUUUGGUCUGGGAAGCAACCAAAUCUCCCAUCUUGCACGCCUCCGUAUUUUGUCACCCUAACAAAGCAGAAAAAAGUUAAGCCUUUCAAUGGGAACUGUGGUGUGACUGGUAGUAUGUCACCUAAGGAAUAUUUUGAUAAAGAGUGGUCAUAUUCAGGGUUCUUUGUCACCAAUGUUAAAUACAGAGCAAAAGGGAGCAUGCGGCGUUAUACGUGUACAACUAAGGAAAGCAGCGAGUGAACUGGAAUGUGACUGAUUCAAGUGACCUUCAUUACAAGUUCACAUAAGAAUUGCAGCAAUAAGCUGCCAAUUGUAGUAGUGUUUAAAAGUGCAAUCUGACAUGCCAAAUGGCGGCCUAGACUUGUAAUUAACAUAAUUUUUUGUUAAUCAAAGGAACUUUGCAAGUGAAGAUGUGGUGCUCUAUUCAUGUGUGAUGAAAUUUAAAAAAAGACAGCCUGGUGAAAUAUGAGAUCAUGUACUUCCUCCGUUCCUAAAUAUAGUCUUUUUAGAGAUUCCACUAUGCACUACAUAGUGAUGUAUAUUGCUCAAUUUACUCCGUAUGUAGUCCGUAGUGGAAUCUCUAAAGACUUAUAUUUAGGGAGGUAGUAGUAUAGAACCAUAAAAAUGCUCUAAGCAAUUGCUUCAAGAUCCCAUUGUGUGGUUGACCACCAAGGAUACUAAUAGAACUCUUCAGAUAAACAAGAAGGAUAAUCUGGACAUAAACAGGGCAUGCACUCUAAUAUUCUUACCCAGUUGUCUGUAACCAAAGGUGGACAUACAAGCUAUGCCCCGCUGCUAUUGCAUAAAGAGUGACAUAGUAGGCCAUAACUGAAGGAGGAGAUACAAACUUUUUGAAAUGAAUCUAAAUCAUGGUAUCUACAUUUGUGAAGAUUAUAGACCAAACUUAGCAUUGUUGAGUUCAGAAAGAGAAGCCAUUUUCUUUGGAACACUCCUACAACAUCUUCAGCAUGGCAAGAUAUGUUAGAAUAUCAUGUUCAACCCUUCUAAAGUUGUGCUUAAUCGGUUGUUUAUAAGUUAUUUAUAGCAUCACCAAUUAAGUUUAAUUUUAGAUUAAGUCAAAUCAUGGCAAAUGACAUCAGAAAAUUGAUUACCUGUACUUCCACCACAGUAGACUGCAUGACUGUAUCCAAGAUAAACUGUAAACUAUUAGUCAAGUUUUUGACUUGUCCAAUACAAUAUAGGAGCCUUUGGACCUGUGCAAAAUAAUUUAGUUGAGCAAUCUGUCCUUUUCUUGUAAUAAAGAAAACAAAAUAUUUUUUUGAAUACUCUGGAUAGAGUUGUCUCAUCUCAUUAUGCUCAGAAAAGAACACCACAUUUACUAGGCAAUGACCCUUUGAUAUACCAACAGAUGUAGCUUUCGGGAAAAAAAGGGUAUAGCAACAGAUGCACAAGCACAAUUUUUCACAGCUAUAAAUGCUUAAUGAAGUAUAGUGUUGAAUAAGGGCAAACCACAGUCAGCACAAUACACCUGGCAGCUACAAAACAAAAUAGAGUAGCAGAAAAGAGAAAUGGCUCCCUUUCGAACUUGAAAUCUCCAAAACUUUUAACGAGCCCUUUGUUAGCUCUACAAUGAAAAUAUGUGCAAGCCACUUUCAGAGUAGUUUGUGUAUUGUAAGUGACACAUGCUAGGGCUGAUAAGGAUCUCAGGACCAAGGAGUGUAGCAAUGAGGGUAUGGCUUCAAGGAGUGAGGCUAGAGCCAUGGCUCCGCAGAUGAGAGGGAGAAAAGGUUGGGGACAGGGAUUAUAACUUUACUAGUAGUUGAUAAUUCUCAUUGAUUGCAUAAUACACAUGGAUAGAAAAGUCUGACUUGGUGCUGGGAAAGAGGAUCUCUAGUUUCCUAACAAAUGGUAUUUGUACAUUCCUAACUAGAUCGAUCUCCUGCCUUGCAAAACUAUAACUAGUGAAAAGAAAAAUAAGAGCAUUCACUUGGCAAUCUUAUGGGCCAUACCACUGUCUUGCUUAUCUCAACUAUUAAAAAUAAUGCACAUCCAGGACAGAAUGACGCAAAAAUCCACAACAUUUAAACAAGCUAAUGACUAAUCCAGAAGUAUUCCAAGCAUAACAGACAAUCAAAAGUUUUCAGGUCAACAUGACAAGAAGAUGGAGUCAUGGAGAUGGUAUUCUGGAUACACAAUAGGAAAGGGCAAUCAUUCUCAACCUUGGGAAUAAAACUGGGAAUCUACAGAGACAAAAAUCUACUGAUGUCUGCACCAGUUUUUGCUAGCGUCAUGCGACUUUAAGUUUGUUGAGUACAAUAUGAGAAAGCUUAAUCACAUCAAACAAUCAUGCUGACAAGCGAAAAAAUGGAAAAAAUUGUUCUAAAAGAUAACCUGUUUUUCUAUGUCAAAUAUAAUUUUCAAGUAUAACGUACUUUUUGGGACAAAUGUACACAUAAUUUUCAAGUAUCCAAUCUAAAUAUAAUCAAAAAUACUAGUCAAAGUUUUGAGGUUUGACAUUGCUAAUGUCCAGAACGGCAGCUUUUAGGGAUCGUAAAAUUCUAGCAAAUAUAUGAGCAAGACCAAAACUGUUGAAAACAAGAAAAAAUGGAAAAAAAAUUGUUCUAAAAUAUAACUUGCUUUUCUAUGUCAACACUUUAAAGUUCAUAAAUGAGUUAAACUAAUUGUAGGUUCCUUUAAAGUGACAACCAUUGACUAUAUAUAUAGCAGCGACAUUCUUCCAAGCCUUGCAUAAAUACGAGUGACAGUCUUCAACUAUUUCCGUCCAGAAAAAAACAUUUUAACUGCAGACAGUUCACGACAGAGUGGCAGGAAUUGCCCGAAACAGAACUUGAUUGCAGGUGCUACCAAUGAAGUGUUGAUACAUAUGCACUCUACAAUAAACAAUAAUAUAAAGAUAUAUUGAAAACGGCUUGUGAAGUGGUGGGCCAGCAUAGAUGUUACAGGUGGAGCUACAAGGAACACAAACCGUCAGUCCAUGCAAAGUUCAUAUAAAUCUGUGGUGGCAAAAGAAGGUGAAUUCAAGUGCAACAUUACCAGAUCAUACAUAUUCAUAGCAGACCCCAGGAAUUUAGAUAUUAUUUUCCAACUAAAAAUUAAGGAAUUUUGAUAUUAUUUCAUGGAGAAGGUACUUCCUAUAUUCAUGUUAUCGCACUGGUGGUGCACACGACCAGGAGCAGUAGUCCUUUGAGAGACGGUGAAUUUUAACAUGUUCCACCCAAAAACAUGACCACCAGCGCUCCUCUAUUCUAGCAGAACCCAGGAAUUUAGAUGCUCCCUCCGUCCAGAAUUAUAAGAUGUUCCAACUUUUUUUCAUGUGUAUAGACGCGUUUUUUCACUCAUUUCAGUCAGUAUGUAGUCCAUAUUGAGAUAUCCAAAACAUCAUAUAUUUCGGAAGGGAGUAUUAUUUUCCAACUCAAAGAAAGGAAUUUAUAUAUUAUUUCAGAGACACUGUACUUCCUAUGUUCAUGUAACAGAACAUAGAUAUUCAUAGCAGACCCCAGGAAUUUAGAUAUUAUUUUUCAACUCAAUUUUUAUUUUUUACAUCAUGGCUCGCCCCCGCUCCGCUCGUCCCUCCUAGCUCCGCAUUGCCCGCAGCCCCGCCGCCGUUGAAUCCCCGUCGGUAGCCGACCCUCCCUUCCCAGCCCCGCCGCUGCUAUGCCAUGACGUCGUCCAACGCGGACCAAGCCGACCACGGAGCGACCCUCUUCGGUGAGCUCGUGUCCUCCGGUGACCGCUAGCUCGACUCGGGGAGCAAGUCCUCCGCGCGUUCCUACUGCAAGGUCGCCCGCCAUCCCUGCCGACGCACCCUGCCCCUGGCCCCGCGGCGCCACCCAGGCAGCCUGUCAGGAGCCGCCUUGGCCCCCGCUCCGAGGUGCACCGAGCCUCCGACGCCAACGCGGAUGGUUUCCGCCGUUGUCGCCCGACCAUGGUGGCCAGCCCCGCCCACUAGCGCACCGCCCGGCACGGACCCGGGCCGGGACCAAGGGGCCGACAACGACCCAGGCCAUGGCCACGGCCCUGGACGUGCACGUCGCCGCGGCCGCAAGUGUAGGCGCACGGAACCUCAGCCCACCGGCCGCCAACAGCAUGGCGGUGGACAACCUGGGAUGGCACGCCGGUCUCCAAACCUCCCGUGCGGAUGGUGUGGCCACGGCGACGGGAUGGCUUGUCCCGCCCGACACGUAUGGCCGCUCAGCCAAGGAACGACAUGCUAUCGUGGCCUAGUCAGCCUAGAGCCCACCAUCGUCGUCACCCUGCCAAAAAAGGAAAGGGUAAAAGGCAAGAUAAGCCCACUUUACCCAUGGGCCAGGAGGGCAGCGCUAACGCUACCCCUGAGGGCGCGAUAUCAGGCUUGGCAAGGACAGCUGGCAACGCACCAAUGGUUGCGGCUGCAUCGGAUCCGUUUGGAAUCUCUAUAAUCCGGAGGCCACCCACGAGCCUGAGACGAUCGCACGGGACCACCAGCCACCUCCCUUGAUGGGCUUGUCACGACCUGGCCGUUCUUAGCAAGGUCCCAGACUCGCAAGCAGGACGUGCCAGAACAGAUAGCCUCCAUGUCGGGGCAAAGUGGUGCUCACCCGAUUACUGAUGUCAAGAUGGGGCCGAUCCCAUGCACGAACAAGUCCACGACCCAAUCCGCGCGCGAAGAGAUGGAUCGUGAGGCGCACGAUCUUGACUCCCCUCUCUGGCCCGCACACCGCCGAUCCCACCCUCAAAAGGAUCACUACCGCCCUCCCCAGACCAGCGGGACCCGCAGGCACCCAUGCAGAAUUUGAUGGGCCCAAUCACUCCCGGGCCUGCUCCGGCUACCAGCUCCGGUCCCGAGCUGGCACGUCAGAACAUGCAUGGGUCUGGGCCAGGCCGCUUCGCUACCCCACCAUCAUCAUGCGCCGAUCACGCGGACGCGCAACAACCGCUCACUCCUGGACGCUAGGAGACUUCUUGGCCGCAGCCACCAAAGAGCUCAACGUGUUGCUGCCGGCGCCUAGGAAGAGACCACGCGACCCUCNNNNNNNNNNNNNNNNNNNNNNNNNNNNNNNNNNNNNNNNNNNNNNNNNNNNNNNNNNNNNNNNNNNNNNNNNNNNNNNNNNNNNNNNNNNNNNNNNNNNNNNNNNNNNNNNNNNNNNNNNNNNNNNNNNNNNNNNNNNNNNNNNNNNNNNNNNNNNNNNNNNNNNNNNNNNNNNNNNNNNNNNNNNNNNNNNNNNNNNNNNNNNNNNNNNNNNNNNNNNNNNNNNNNNNNNNNNNNCCACCACGCCACCCACCGCCGAAAGACGCGCACAAGUUCAGGUGCUUCGCACACUUGGCAUCGUUGGGACCAACCAGAAGAUCUCAGCCGUUGAGAUGAAGGCAUACAACAACUUGCUUGUGGCGCCCAUCCCGUUGUCAGUGCUAAGGGCCAUCGUUGCACUAGUCAAUCGCGAGAACCCAGCUUGCUUGCCGUCGCAGCAGACUGCCCCGGCGUGCGUUGACAUCGCGUGCGAGACUUAGGGCUCUCCUAGCAGUCCCUCCCCCGUUGGUCCAAUCUUUUAUGGAUCACGGCCUCAAGAUCGUCGUUUUGAAUGUGUGUCGGCUCAAGGCAUGCACGCGGUGCCUUGCUAUCCGCACACAGCUUGACACCACAGACGCGUCCAUUGUAUGCUUGCAAGAAACGAAGAUGGAGUUGCUUUGCUCGCCUUUGUCCUUGACACGCUAGGCUCGGAGUUUGACAACUACACGUACCUCCCGGCCCAGGGAACGUGCAACGAUAUAUUCUUCUCGCGUGGAAAAGCAGUGUCGUGACUAUCACGACCCCUUUGUUCACCGCCAACGCACUCUCGGCCAAGGUCGCCACAACCGCCGACACGCCGUGGUGGCUUAUGGUUGUCUACGGACCUCAGGAAGAAGUGGCCAAGGUCGCCUUCUUGCAGGAGCUGCGAGAGAUCCGAGCAAGCUGCCCCAGACCUUGGAUGCUUUGUGGUGACUUCAAUCUCAUCCUUUGCACCAAGGACAAGAGCACGAGCAAUCUCAAUAGACGCAUGAUGGCCAAAUUCCGCCGACUCGUCAACGACCUCGCACUCAAGGAGGUCUGCCUCAAUGGGCGCCAGUACACAUGGUCGAACGAGCAGUCACCGCUGACGUUGGUGCACCUUGGCCACGUGCUGUGCACCUCGAACAAGAAGACGCACAUGGUGAAUGCCACCUACGGUGCCUUGCGUCUGUCGUGUCGGACCACUGCUCGUUGUUGCUGGAUUGCGUCCCCGCGCCUAUGAUGCAUCGCAGAUUCCAUUUCGAGGACCACUGGUUGCGCAUGGACGGGUUCCACGAUAAAAUGACCACGACUUGGGGUUCCGCUCAUGACCCGGACCCAUUCCGCCGCUGAUGCUGCGCCUACAAGCCACAGCGCGCAGCUUGACGAGUUGGAGUGCCAAAGCAGUAGGCAACGUCAAGGCCAAGCUGGCUGUUUCACACGAGCUCAUUGCGCACUUUGACAAGGCCCUGGAAGAAUGCAUCCUCACGCCUCCUGAAGACUGACCGCGCAAACAACUGAAGGUUUCUUACCCUGGCCUCGCGUCCCUGGAGCAUAUGAUUGCAAGACAGCAUGCCCGCCUCGCCAACCUCAAAGACGAAGACGCCAACACCGCCUUCUUCCACCGACAAUGCUCAGCCUCUCCAUGCACGGCACGGUGCUCACCGAGCACGACGCAAUGGCGGGGGCUGCAUUAUCCGGCACUACGAUGCCCCGGCAUAGCGUAGAGCGCAAACACACGAUGGACCUGUCGCGAGCUCAUCGAGGGGAGCGAUCUCUCAGAUCUUGACGUGCCCUUCUGCCCAACGGAGAUCUGGGAAGCCAUAAAGCGCCUGCCCGCGCGCAAGUCGCCAGGGCCCGAAGGCUUUACUGCUGAAUUCUUGCGGGCGUGUUGGAGCACCAUCAAGUAGGAUUUCGUGGACGUGUUCCAGCAGCUAUUCGAGCUACGCAGCCGAGGCUUCUGCAAGUUAAACCACGCCCUCCUAAUGCUCAUGUCGAAGUGUGUCGACACCGAAGAGCUGCACGAUUAUUGCCCGAUUUGCUUAAUCUAUAUCAUGGCCAAGAUCUUCACCAAGGCACUAUCGUUGCUGCUUUCCCUAAAGCUGGAUCUCCUUGUCAGCCGCAAUCAAAACGUGUUCAUCAUCGAAAGAAGCCUCCAUGAUAACUUCGUGCUCGUCAGGCAAUCACUCCAGCUACUGCACCAACUAGGUGCCCCCAGAGUGAUGCUCAAGGAGAUCCAGAGCCAUCGUAAUAUGAGCGUUGACAAGGAGGGUUCGGGAACCGCUUCCUCGAGUGGGUUGCUAUCCUCUUGUCCUCCGCCAGCACUCGCGUCUUGAUGAAUGGUGUACCAGGCCCCCCUAUUUGGCACCAAGAAGGGCUUCAGCACGACAACUCCUUGUCCCUGCAACUAUUCGUCCUUCAGCGCGCCCAUGAAACUGACAUCCUUGCACAGUUGCAUCCCCAGAGGCUGAUUACAAAGAUAUCGCUCUACGCCGACGAUGUCAUGCUCUUCUGCCAUGCCACAGAGAGCGACGUGUCCGUGAUCAAAGAGAUCCUUGCCUUGUUUGGCAGAGCGUCCGGCCUAAAGGUAAACUACGCUAAGAGCUAUGCCACGGUCCUGCAUGGGGACCAGACCACCGAGUCCAUAUCCAGCUUGGGAUGCCCAGUCACCGAGCUCCCGAUCACCUACCUCGGCAUCCCCUUGACGACGCGCCGCCCCUCCGCUGCGCAACUGCAACCCCUCGUCGACAAGGUCGCCGACCGCCUGCCCAUUUGGAAGGCAUGGCUCAUGAACAAAGCCGGCAGACUGGCCCUUGUCAAGUUCAUCCUUUGUGCCAUCCCGGUCCACCAGUUGCUUGCGUUCGCUCCUCCGAAGAAAACCUUGCAACAGGUCGAGAAACUUCAGAGGGGAUUUCUCUGUUCUGGGCACGCUAUGGCCAAGGGAGGGCAUUGCCAUGUCACUGGCGUCAUGUUUGCCGCCCACACGAGCUUUGCGGCCUUGGAUUCCGCGACUUGGAGCGCACCAGGCUUGCGCUCAGAUUACGAUGGCUCUGGCUCUCGCGAACAGACCCAGCAUGCGCUUGGCAAGGGCUGGACCUCCAAUUCUCCAGCAACGAGCGCGUGCUUUUCUCCACAUCUACCUACACAACCAAUGGGAACGGAAUGAGCGCCUUAUUUUGGGAGGGGAUCGAUGGCUCAAUGGGCGGUCUAUUGGCGAGCUCAUGCCCGCACUCUACAGUUGCAUCCCAAAACGCUCAUGCAAGGCCAGAAUGGUGGCGAAAGGGCUCCAUGGCAAUGCCUGGGCUCGUGACAUUCACGGCGUUCUUGGCAUCCACGAGAUUAGCCAAUACCUGCAGCUUUGGCACAUCACGCAAAGCACUACACUCACUGACACCCUGACCAGCUGAUCUAGAAGUGGACUGCAAAUGGCAUCUACUCGGCGCAAUCCUGCUACGCGGCCACUUUCCAAGGCUCAAUGCACUGCUACUCAUGGAAGCUAAUUUGGAAGUCUUGGGCGCCGCCUCGGGUCAAAUUCUUUCACUGGCUGGCCAACCUCGACCGCUGCUUGACCGCGGAUUGUUUGGCUCGCCACGAUCUACAACAUCACCCACGCUGCCUACUCUGCGAUCUGGCGCCAGAAACGAUACGACACUUGCUGCUGCACUGCCCUUUCACAUGGCAGGCAUGGCAUGAGACGUUGCCUGGCUUCGCAUAUCGACGAAGAUCCCCAACCAAGAGCCCACACUCAUGGACUGGUGGUGGCACGCCAAGGCCAACAUGCCGCAGAUGCAGCGCAAGGUCCUGCAAUCCAUCGCGCUCCUUGUAGCAUAGGGAUAGUUGCGUCUUCGACAACACAACGCCCUCCCUAGACAUGCUAUUGGUUAGAAUCAAGGAGGAAGCCUGCCUCUGGGCAAAGGCCGAAGCCGCAGGACUUAAGAGUGGUUCUGCCCCCUUCAUGGGAUGUGCAUUAAGAGUCUGUAACCUGAUAACCCGAUCGUCCGCCCUCAGACGCUUGUAACUAACUUCCUUUUCAGCGAAAAGAAACGCAAAUCUUUUGCAUUUUCUUGAAAAAAAAAUAACUCAAAAAUAAAAGAAUUUAGAUAUUAUUUCAGGGACAAUGUACUUCCUAAAUUCAUGUUAUCGCACUGGUGGUAGUCCUUAGUGCGAAGGCAGCGCUCCUACUGGUUGCUAGAAAAAAAAUGCAAGUUAUACAUUUUUGUUUCGCUAUAUGGUCAUGUUAGUAACAUUACAACGCCAUUUUUUUUAUAAAAUGUUGCUAUCAAUGUCCAAGUGCGUCCAAUACAAACCACUACGUACAACUUUAAUUUUCAUUUCCUCUAUACUGAUCAUUUAUCCAAACAUUGCUACUACAGAACUAUGGGCUGUCAAGUACAGAAGCACGUGAUAAAUUUCUUUAGUUUGAAGGAACAAGUGUCAAUUCAUGUUCAAUUGCAUCCAAACCAGAAUUUAAAUUAUCUUGGCGUAAAUUUCCAUGUUCUGAUUUCAUUUGCAAGCAAUGAAUGCACACAUCCUAAGACAAUCUAUAUUUUUUAAUGCAGGGAGGUCAGAUAAUAAAACACAAGUGCCAGUGUUAGAAAAUGAUUUGCCAAAAGUAGAAGAAAGAAUCACAAGGUUCAGUGUUUGCAUUUGGACAAAAGAACUAGGACUUACAUAGCACCAUAAACCAAGCAUUGGAGCACACAAUGCGCCGAAUUAACUAACUAUCAAGGGUAGAGUCCGAAAGUGCACGAAUAAUUGCAUAGAUUGAGGCUCUUUAUUUGAUGUUACUUAGAAGUGUCAAUGCUAUUUGUGUAUGGCCAGAUUUCAUUUUAUUGAAAUCCACAACAAACGGCUACAUUUAAAGAGUACUUGAGUAUGUCUCUUCUUGUAACCCGAGAACUUACACCGAUCAGGUAACAGGGGAAGAAAGAAUCAUAAAAAAUUAACUUGGAACAGAUUUAUCUAAUUUAAGAUGUGCAGGAGCUGAAUUCCAAUGCAACUGUAGCUUCAUGUGGCAGAGUCUAAAUUUUCUAGGCAUGAUGUAAAGCUCUUUACCCAAGUUAUAUCAACCACACCAUAAGUAUACAUCCAAUGUCCAACUGAUAGCAAAUCAACCACACCAUUACUAAACAUCCAAUGUUAACUGAUACCAAAAUAGCAAACCUGCAAACUCAGUUUGAAUGGAUAAAAAAAUGCUAAAUGACAACUCUCCAUCUCCCACUCAAUCAGCAAGUAAACAACUAUAGAAGGUGACCAGAACAUUACUAGACUAUUGAUGACUUUCCGAAUAGACUGCUGGAUUAUAGUAGCAAAGCAAUAAAGAACUGGGGAUUUUUCUAAAAUAAAACCACCGUGUAAAACCAGCAAACUAACCUGGUUAAAGCCAGCAAUCAAGGAUAAUGGCACCCAACCACGGUCAUCCAUAUGUCUCCUCAAGAAUAUGUCCUUGCACAAAUUUUCAUCACUGCAAAAAAUGAGCAAGCGGGCAAGCGGCUCAAUAAAAUGACCUCAGUGGUGGCGUAGUGUUUUCUAUAAAUUAAGACGGAGAAAUACCUAAAGUAGUAGUCUAUCUGCACCAGUAGGUCCCUUUGAAGUUGUUCCAGUGGAGAAAUUAGCAUGGCUGGAGGGGUUGGUGGAGGAGGCGCAAAAGGAAGGGCUUGAAGACCAUCCGAAGGGGGCACGGCAAAAUAGUAAACAUGAGGUGCCAUCUCUGCUGUUUAAAAUAAAGCAAAUUAAGGUGACAUAACAAUUGCACAAAGCCAUGUUCUCACAAAGAGCAUGAAUAACAUACCAGGGAAUCCCAUAGGCGCCCCAUAAGGUGGUGUCUGUGGAGCAGCAGUUCCAUAAGGUGGUGUCUGUGGAGUGGCAGGGCCGGCAAAUGGUGGCGCAGGAGGUCCCGCCGCUAAAACAGCCAGAGGAGGAGGAGCCCUAAUGAACGAUGGCUGGUGAACUCGAUGCUGGUGCCCUGGCCCAUGUCCAUCUCUACGGCCGCCACCACGCCGUUGCCCAUCAAACCCACCAUGGUGCUCAUGACCAUGGCGACUACCACCUCCACCAUUACCCCUUCUGCUCCCCCCACCAUAACUGCCACCUCGGCCAUGAGGAUGGGAACCAAAACGGCCAUUUUGAUGAUGAACGCCGGUACCAUUGCUCCGGGCAUUAGGAGAGUAUCCUACAGAUUGCUCUGGAAUAAGAGCAUGCAUCUCUGGCCCGUCAUCCCCUGCAGGCAUCAUCAACACACGCCGGACUGGUGGACUACUGGUCACGUCGUCCUUAACAGUGGUAGCAUCCGGAGCGCCAGAGAUGUCCAAAGACACCGGUAAAAUCACUGUCUCCUGAGACCAUUCCCACAAACAAUCAAAACACAAUCUGGUCAGACCGUACAAAAUAUAAACACCAAAAAUCCUAAAUAGAUCAAACACUGAGACAGGAUCCAACUCCUAUAAUACUAAGUAAAUCGAACACUGAAAUAAACUAACAGCUCACAGUGGAAGGAGGAACGUACCAGUGCAUCCUGAUCAGGGGUAGCAUCCGGAGCGUCGGAGAUGUCCAAGGACACGGGCAAGAUAGCUGCCACCUGAGACCAUUCCAACAAUAGCAAAAGCAAUAUCAUCAGACGGUACGAAAUCUAACCGCAAUAAAUCAUAAAUGAAUCAAGCACUGAUACGAAAUCCAACUCCGAUAGUAAGUAAAUCAGAAACUGAGAUGAACUGACAACUCACAGUGGAAGGGGGAGGAGCGGCCUUAGGCGACGCCUUGGGCGGUGUGGGCGGCUGGGGAGAGGCCAGCCCAGGAAGCGCCGGCCAGGAGUCGGCGUCCAUGAUGGGGCUCCCGGGCGCCACCAGCACCGGCCCGUUCUCCGGGCGCUUCCACGCGGUGGCGGCCGCCCUCUUCGCCGCGACGGGACUACCGUGGGGCGGCGUCCCCGCGCCAGCGAGGGCAGCGUGCGGGUCGGCGGCAACGGAAGCCAUCCUCCACACCUCCUCUAUCCGAUCGGGCGGUGCAGGUUCCACGGGGCGAUGAAUCAAACGCGGAGGCGGUCGGCGGGGAUGACGAUGGCGGAUGGCGGCGGGAUCGGUUCUCAGUGGUACGGCAUGGGUCGAUCGGGGCCGAGAGUUCCAAAUAUUGCCGCGCCGGCGGCGAUCGGAUCGGGGAGGGGGAGCAGCGGGAGGACGAGGAGGAGGCGGUGGUGCGGCGCGGCGGCUCGCUGCUCUUCCCUACCCUUCCCUUCCCACGGGCGGAAUGGACGCGGAGGGGAUCGCCCCCUUGCCGGUGGGGCACAAAAGGGGAGCCGCACGCAGCCAGCCAGGUCCAUUCACACCGUCCCGGGCCGUCCGAUCCGGAUCGAUCGACGGCCGUGGUGCCUCGUGGGCCCCGGCGCCGCUCUAAAGUUGCUCGCGCUGGCGUCUGCUUGGCUGACGAGCGCGCUGGCGCCGCACCACCUGGCCCACCUGGCUGCGGCGCUGGUGGUUGCUGUGGGUGUGACACCUCGGGGGAGUGGGACGGCCGUCCGAUGGAACAUCGACGGCUGCGAGGUUGCGGAGGAUCCACGUCCGGGCAAAGCGUCGUCCGGAUUCGCAAAUCCACCGGCUGCGGACUGCACACGCCGCCCCCGCUACGGCUGUUGCUGGAUUUCAAUAAGUGCGCGUCUCUUCGUUAAACAGACGGAAUUAGCGGACGAGAAAUGUUACUCUGGUUGCGUGUAUCUUCGAUUCAGAUUCGCUGACUUGCCGUCUGGUCUCGUCGGUUGGAUUGAAAAGCGGCGGUUCAGAUCGGAUGCUACAGUGUGGUUAACAUUGAUGUGCUUAACAGUAAUUCCUAUGAACAGUGAUUUGGCAAAUCUCAGCCUACAAUUCUUGAUCCCGCGAGAAAGGCAGCGGGGACUUACUGUGGCUAAGUCAGUGAAUCCGGUCGCAACAUGAUACUUUCUAUUUCGACGAUAAACACACAAUAGGUUUAACGAUCUAUUUGUCAUGGACGUAAUGCCUAUACACUGAUAAUGCCAUGAAUAACGUCAUAAGUAUGUGUUUUUCUAUCAAUUGCCCAACAAUAAUUUAUCUACCAACUGUAUGCUAUGUUCUUGAGAGAGAUUCAUCUAGUGAAAACUAUCGCCUCCGGGUCUAUUCACCAUAUUUACUAAAAUCCUAAAAAGCCCACUGCAAUUUACUUUUUUUUAUUUUCUUUUGCAGUUUAUAUAUUUGUCACCAUCAGAAUUAAUCCUUGCAAUUAAGUACAAGGGGAUUGACAACCCUCUUGCCCGCGUUAGGUGCAAAUAUUUAGUUAGUGUGUGUAUGCACUAUCGACCUUUGUCUGCGUGAAUCUCCUAUUGGUUUGAUAAACCUUGGUUCUCUACUGAGGGAAAUACUAUCCGCUAUUAUGUUGCUUCUCCCUUCCUCUUCGAGAAAAACCCAAUGCAGCUCACAAGUAGCAGUACAUAAUUCCUAUUAGCAAGUAUAAGCACAACAUUCACUCUACCCAUAGGUUUUUUAAUUGUACAAUACACCAAGUGCAAUUUAAAGAACAUUCAUCCAUAUUAGUGAAACCUAGGACAACAUAUAAAGCUUUAGGCAUAGUUGAAACAUGAUACGUCUCCAACGUAUCUAUAAUUUUUUUAUUCUUCCAUGUUGUUAUACUAUCGUUAUUGGAUGUUUUAUAUUCAUUUUAUAGCAACUUUAUAUCAUUUUUUGGGACUAACCUAUUGCCAUAGUGCCCAGUGCCAGUUGCUGCUUUUUGCUUCGCAGAAUAUCCAUAUCAAACGGAGUCCACACGCACCGAAACUUUUUGAAGAUUUUUUUCUGCCUAGAAAAUAACCUGGGAGCCAAGGAAGUGCAGGAGGGAAGGCCUGUGGGGCCCACAAGGCACCAGGGCGCGCCAGUGGCCCCUAGUGUUGGGAAACGUAGCAUGCAAUUUCAAAAAACUUCCUACACUCACGCAAGAUCUAUCUAGGAGAUGCAUAGCAACGAGAGGGGGAGAGUGUGUCUACGUACCCUCGUAGACCAAAAGCGGAAGCGUUUGACAACACGGUAGAACUUCUUCUCGUUCCGACCGAUCAAGCACCGAACGUACGAUACCUCCGAGUUCUGCACACGUUCAGCUCGAUGACGUCUCUCGAACUCUUGAUCUAGCAAAGUGUCGAGGAAGUAGAUGAGUUCCGUCAGCACGACGGCGUGGUGACGAUGAUGGUGAUGUGAUCCGCUCAAGGCUUCGCCUAAGCACUACGAGAAUAUGACCGAGGGUGUAAUCUGUGGAGGGAGACGUCGCACACGGCUAAAAAUUGUUGGUGUGUGUUCUAGCGGUGCCUCCCCCACAUAUAUAGGUUGGAGGGGAGGAGAGGCAGCCAAGGGGGCGCCCCAAGUAGGAGGAAUCCUACUUGAGGUCCUCCCAAUUUGGCCUCCCCCUUUCCUUUUUACCGGAGGGGGGAAAGGGAAGAGAGGGGGAGGAAGGAAAGGGGGGCCGAACCCCCUCCUCCUUCUCCUAUUCGGCCUCCUUCCUUAGGGGCACACUACCCCUUUGUGGGUUGGUGUGCUCCCCUCCUAUGGCCCAUAAGGCCCAUUAAUCUCCCGGGGGNNNNNNNNNNNNNNNNNNNNNNNNNNNNNNNNNNNNNNNNNNNNNNNNNNNNNNNNNNNNNNNNNNNNNNNNNNNNNNNNNNNNNNNNNNNNNNNNNNNNNNNNNNNNNNNNNNNNNNNNNNNNNNNNNNNNNNNNNNNNNNNNNNNNNNNNNNNNNNNNNNNNNNNNNNNNNNNNNNNNNNNNNNNNNNNNNNNNNNNNNNNNNNNNNNNNNNNNNNNNNNNNNNNNNNNNNNNNNNNNGUACCCUGUACACCCUCAAACACUUUCUGUGUCCGAAUGUCAUAGUCAUAUAUAUGAAUCUUUUACCUCUCGACCAUUUCGAGACUCCUCGUCAUGUCCGUGAUCUCAUCCAGAACUCCGAAAAACAUUCGGUCACCAAAUCACAUAACUCAUAUAAUACAAAACCGUCAUCGAGCAUUAAGCGUGCGGACCCUACAGGUUCGAGAACUAUGUAGACAUGACCGAGACACCUCUCAAGUCAAUAACCAAUAGACACUAGUACAGCGACAUCCUAAACAAACGGUUUAAAACCCCUUUCCGCGACGACAUUUGGAACCGUCACCAAGUGAGCAUGGGCGAUAGGGGGGUCCUUUCCACACGACCCAGAAAUCGUCGAGGAUAGGCCCUCGUGGGACCCAGGCUGGGGCCGUGUGCGAUCGGGCGAUGCAUGAAAACCCAAUCAUUUCCAUAGGUAUGUACAUCCCACACGGUGAAUCCCAGAAAUCAUUUCCGUAGGUAUGUACAUCCCACACGGUGAAUCCCAGAAAUCAUUUCCGUAGGUAUGUACAUCCCACACGGUGAAUCCCAGAAAUCAUUUCCGUAGGUAUGUUCAUCCCACACGGUGAAUCCCAGAAAUCAUUUCCGUAGGUAUGUACAUCCCACACGGUGAAUCCCAGAAAAUCAUUUCCGUAGGUAUGUACAUCCCACACAGUUUUUUGUGU
rnacentral:lncRNA from 1 species